rnacentral:rRNA from 3 species
CAUUUGGUGGAUGGCUUGGCUCUGAUGAUGCGCGCCGUGGCAAGCUGCGAUAUGCCUCGGGGAGAAGCAUGCAUUCGAUAAUCCGAGGGUUGCGCGCAACGCGGGAAAUUGAAACAUCUUAGUACUCGCAGGAAAAGAAACCAAACUAGGCAUUCGGGUAGUAACGGCGAGUGAACCCCGAGAAGGGCAAACUGAAUCCUUUGCAGCAAUGCAGGGGAGAUGUGGGCAUCUCAACCAUCCGUUGUGUUAGCUGAGGUCUCCUGGAAAGGAGCGCCACAGAGUGUGAUAGCCACGUAGGCGGAGCACUGCGGAGGGGGAUGCAGAGAGUAGCGCUGCCCGGAUUGGUAGUGUGAAUAUGGGAGCACUAGCUCCUAACCCUAAAUAGCCUUCAGAGACCGAUAGCGAAUGAGUAGCGCGAGCGAACGCUGAAAAGGACCCCGGGAGGGGUGUUAAAAGAGCCUGAACCCAAAUGGUUACAAUUUGAUGCAGUGUGAAAGGAAUGCAGCGUGCCGAAGUAAAAGCCCGCGAGGGCCCGAGCGAGGCAUGCGAAGCAGCAUUGCAUCUUCCUUCUCUAAGCAAGGACCAGGGAGUGUAAUGUAGUGGCAAGGCGAGAGCCGGAGCGAAAGCAAUGGUGCGCAGGAAACAAGGCACAACCUUUGAAAAGGGGUAAGUCACUAUGUUACGACCCGAAGCUGAUGUGAACUACACGUGAGCAGGGCGAAGCCAACCCGAAGGUUGGUAGAGGCCCUCAACCGCUACUGGUAUAUCCGUUCGGGUGACUUACGUGUAGGGGUGAUAGUCCUAUCGAACUCAGCAAUAGCGGGUUCCCUCCGAAAUAUCUCUCAGGAUAGCCCUGUUUGAGGAAGAUCACGCGGUAGAGCACUGAUUAUGAGGAACGGGAUCGAAAGGUCUCGCCUUGUUAUCAAACGAGCCCUUUUUCUUUUGUAAAAGAAAAAGCCCUCGGGGAAAAAGAAAACAUUUACCCCAUAUUGAAUGGGCAUUUUUUCAAAAAUAUAAAAAGGGUUUGGGUGAAACUCCGAAUGCGUUUUCUCCGUAGACGACAGGAGUCGGGGGUGGCGGGUAAGCUGCCGCCCCGUAACCGGAUCAACGGUGCCUUGGGUUAAGGCCCAUAAUACUCGGUUAAGUGUAAGGAGUAAAGAACUCAUUUUUCUUAGACAGUCGGGAGGUAGGCUCAGAAGCAGCCAUCCUUUAAACAACGCGUAAUAGCGGACCGGCCGAGAAAAAUGGCUUUGAAGAUAAACUGGGCUCAAACCGAGAGCCGAUACCCAAGAGGAUUAUCGAAAGAUAAUUUUGGUAGGAGGGUGAACUUGCGGGGCAGAAGCAUGGCCGUGAGGUCAUGUGGACCUGCAAGUUAUAAAUAUCCUGGUGUUAGUAACAGCAUAUCCAGGUGAGAAUCUUGGACGUCGAAUGCACACGGGUUUCUCGGCAAUGUUUGUCAGCUGAGAGUUAGGCGAUCCUAAGGUUGACGGUAAUUCCAGUCAACCAAAAGGGAAAGCGGUUAAUACUCCGCUCCCAUAUGGGUAGGCGUGGUAACACAAGCCACACUUAUGACGCCUUUGGGUAGACCGGCUUGUUAACUACUAUAGGCCUGCAGAGACUCAUGAUGAGGAGAAGCAGGCUAAAUGUAUAUCGGUUGAUCCCGGGGGCCCAUGAAAAGUAAGCGUGGAACGAUCCCAUGUGACCGUACCUAGAACCAGUACAGGUGUUGCUGGCUGAAAAAGCCAAGACGUGUCAGGAGAACUUAGGUUAGGGAACUCGGCAAGAUAGCCCCGUACCUUCGGUAUAAGGGGUGCCUGAAGUCGCGAGACUACAGGUCGCAGUAACAAGGGGAGGCCGACUGUUUAUCAAAAACACAGAUCAUAGCAAGGUCGUAAGGCCAUGUACUAUGGUCGACGCCUGCUCACUACCGGUACGUGAAACCCCACUUCAAUGGGACUAAGCGCCGGCAAAGAGCGGGGGUAACUCUGACCCUCAACAAAGGGUGUGUUUGGAUGAACAGAAGCUAAAAGUGGCGCCAAAGUAUUACGCAAAUGGCCUAUAGGGGGUCGUUAAAUUCGGCUGUAUGCUGGAAACCCAGAGCCAACAGGUCCAUAAGCCAGCGCGGCGAAUGGAAAAAUCCUGGAGGCAAUGAGGGCAAUCAGCAGGAAACUUCAGCAAAUGCAGGAGGAUCCUCAGAGACUAUACGCCGAACAUCCGCAGUUGCGGAUGAUGAUAUAGUCCGACACUCCAAGUAAUUGGAGAUUUUUUAACAAAUAGCUUAAGGUAGCGUAAUACCUCGCCGCUUAAUUGGCGGCUUAGGAAAGAAUUCUUGCAAAUGCAAAUAUUGAUAGAAUGAGCUCUUUCCGCCGAUGCAUGAAUGGCGUAACGAGCCUCCUACUGUCCCAACCUAGGACCUGGUGAACUCACUACACUGUGAAUAUGCAGUGUACUUCCAGUGGGAAACGAAGACCCCGUGGAGCUUUACUAUAGUCUGCACUUGUGGUAUUUUGAAUGAUGCGCAGCGUAAUUGGGAGCCGUCAUGUUGCACCUUGCGGGGUGCAAAUAGGCAACAAUGUAACACCAAUCUUCAUUUAGACUACUGCUUACCGAAAGGAACAGGUACAGAUGGAUAGUUUGGCUGGGGCGGUACGCCCUCGAAACGAUAACAAGGGCGCCCAAAGUUCUGCUUAGGCGGGUCAGAAAUCCGCCGUUAAGGGUCAAAGACAAAUGCAGGAUUGACUGUAUUCCUAAACGCAUGGGAUGCAGAGGCGAAAGCCGGGCUUAGCGAACCUUAGAGUCCCCGCUAGUGGGGGCCUAAGCUGUCAGACAAGCUACCCCGGGGGUAACAGGCUCGUCGCGGGCGAGAGAUGGUAAAUCUCCGCCUUUUUAGAUUGUGCCUAUCCCAAUAAUUGGACUGAAGAUAACUCCUAAAAAAUAUCUCUGUCCUACUGGAUAAAUACGAACGAAAUCGUCGAUGGCGUUUCGCAAUCUAGCUAAUAUAUCAUAACCAGGCGAUGGGACAUUUAUGGAGAUUCUCCACUCAAAUACCCAUCGACCCCGCGGUUUGGUACAUCGCUGUCGGCUCAGGUCAUCCUGGCGGUGCAGGAGCCGCCAAGGGUUGGGUUGUUCAUCCAUUAAAGACCUACGUGAGCUGGGUUCAGAACGUCGACUUAGGCGUUGCAUAGCCGUAAGGCUAUGAAAAAUUAAAUUGGCUCAUAUCGGUGAACCCUUGACCUCUUAGAACUGGGAGGUUGUGGGAAUACCGAGGGAAGGUGAGAUUUAUGGGCUCAACGACACUUGCAUAUAUCGCCGGAUUCCUGGAUGGUGAUGGAAGUAUCUUUUUCCAAAUAAUCAAAAGAAAGGAUUAUCUACGAAAGUUUCAGAUAAGAUGCAGCAUAGCAUUUUAUCAAAAAACUAGAUACGCAGAAAUUCUACAAUGGCUGAAAGAUUAUUCUGGAGCAGGAUACAUCCGCCACAGAAAAACAGGAAUCAGCGAUUAUACUGUUGUUGAACCACAUGAAGUUGGGAGAAUACUCUCACUUUUACUGCCGUAUGUCAGAUUAAAGAAGAAACACGCAAUACUUGGAUUGCAAAUUUUGCAAAAACUUGAAUCGGCAAAAUCUAAAGAAGAUUUCUUGAAGAUUUGCAAGCUGGUGGACAAGUUUGGCAAAAUCAAUUAUUCCAAGAAAAGAACAAUGACAUACAAAGUAGUAAAGGAUUACUUCAAAAAUAAAUCUCUACCCCCGUAGAGACUGAGGCAAAUAAUUAGUCGCCGAGAGUCUUGCAAAUAUUGCAAGGCUAACACGCCGAUCUCCUAUCCUGCAAGGAUAGGAUGGUGGUAUAGUCCAUGCUAUUUCGAAAGAAGUAGGUUUACAUGCGCGAGACAGUUCGGUAGUAUCUACUGGGAGUGUAACUGCCUGAGAGCAAGAAUCCACGAGUACGAGAGGAACAUGGAUUCGGCGCCUCUAGUGUACCAGUUGUUUAAAGCAAUGCUGGGAAGCCACGCGCUAUAUGGAUAAGACCUGAAAGCAUCUAAGGUCGAAGCCAUUCUCAAAACGAGGCAGGUAGAUCGGCCAUAGAACAUGGCUUUGAUAGAACAGGGGUGUAAGUGC